rnacentral:rRNA from 1 species
CCUACGGGAGGCAGCAGUGGGGAAUAUUGGGCAAUGGAGGCAACUCUGACCCAGCAACGCCGCGUGAAUGAUGAAGGUCUUCGGAUUGUAAAGUUCUGUGAUGGGGGAUGAACACAAUGACGGUACCCCAAUAGCAAGCCACGGCUAACUACGUGCCAGCAGCCGCGGUAAUACGUAGGAGGCAAGCGUUAUCCGGAAUGACUGGGCGUAAAGGGUGCGUAGGUGGUUUGAUAAGUUGGUAGCGUAACUCCGAGGCUCAACCUCGGCACUACUACCAAAACUGUCGGACUUGAGUGCAGGAGGGGCAACUGGAAUUCCUAGUGUAGCGGUGGAAUGCGUAGAUAUUAGGAGGAACACCAGUGGCGAAGGCGAGUUGCUGGACUGUAACUGACACUGAGGCACGAAAGCGUGGGGAGCAAACAGGAUUAGAUACCCCAGUAGUC